rnacentral:rRNA from 1 species
UGGGGAAUAUUGGACAAUGGGCGAAAGCCUGAUCCAGCAAUGCCGCGUGAGUGAUGAAGGCCUUAGGGUUGUAAAGCUCUUUUACCAGGGAUGAUAAUGACAGUACCUGGAGAAUAAGCUCCGGCUAACUCCGUGCCAGCAGCCGCGGUAAUACGGAGGGAGCUAGCGUUGUUCGGAAUUACUGGGCGUAAAGCGUACGUAGGCGGUGACUCAAGUCAGAGGUGAAAGCCUGGAGCUCAACUCCAGAACUGCCUUUGAAACUAGGUCGCUAGAAUCACGGAGAGGUGAGUGGAAUUCCGAGUGUAGAGGUGAAAUUCGUAGAUAUUCGGAAGAACACCAGUGGCGAAGGCGGCUAACUGGUCCGGUACUGACGCUGAGGUGCGAAAGCGUGGGGAGCAAACAGGAUUAGAUACCCUUGUAGUCCCUGAGCGGGCUGGCAAGGCGCAU